CAGAACAGAAGAAUAACAGCUCUGAGGCAUUUUGGUGAAACCACUGGAUGAAGUAUGAUUAUCAUAGCAACGUAUGAUCUCUUCCAGUCCUCACAGCAGAGGUGGCACCUUGUGGCAUGACAUCCAGCUCCUCAUGUCCUUGCUCACAGCCCGCUGAGAGAUUUACACCUCUUCCCCACAAGAGAGCAACACAGGGAGACAAUAAAGCUUGAUGAGAUGGGUGUGUGAAACAGAGGAGUGACUGCGAUGAUGAUUUUGUAGCUGCUGAUGCCCUCACAGAGAUUCCUGGAUCUGUUCCUGACCUGCAAGCUACAGAGAAAGCAAGGAAGUUCAUGGUGACGAGUGGUGGUUCCUAAUUUUUUUGGUGGACCUACUGUGCAAACUUCCAGACCUCAGUGUGCCCUGUUUACUUUCGAGCUUGUUCAGGAACAUUGACUAAAUGUUUGACAGUUUAUCCAUACUUAUAUCAUGAGAUACCAAACUCGUUUUUGCCAACAUGGUGUUCAAUCUGCUAUUGAAAUAAAGGACCUGAGAACUGAGAUUUCAAAAAAUAUUCCCCUGUGAGGGAAAGAGACUUGUUAAAGAAAUGGAACACUUAUUAUAGAGGCAAAGUGGGACUAAAACCCUUCUUCAAAAAUGGGAAAAAAUGGCAUAUAAGUCUCUGUUGCUGUUCAGAGACUGAGACAGUUCAAACUUAUCUUUAACACUUAGAAACAACAAUAUAAUUAAACUAUGGACGGAAAAAAAAGAUUCAGAGCUUACCCGUCAUAGAAACUUUUUCUUCUCUUUUGAUUAUAAUAGAUAUAAGAGAAUUGUGAUUUGACAAAUUACACAUUUAUUGUUAAUGUCUAUGCUAGAUAUUGACCUGCUAAUGCUUGUAGCUGUUUUAGUUCAUUAUGAAGGUUUUACUGAUUAGAAAAAGGUUAGAGCUUAUCUGAGAGAAUUUUGACAUUGUCAAUGAGUCUUUAGAUUUAGUAUGUUUAAAAGGACAAAUUGGGAUUUUGACUGUAGCUAAAAACUAUUAACAACAUUCUAGAUGAAUUUAAAAAGGCGAUUCUAUCUCUGAUCAUUCUCAACUCCUUCACUAAGAAAUAUUGCAACCAGAGGAGCAUGUGUAUCACAAUGUAUUAUCUGCUUGCAUACAGUUAUCUAGCUGUUUGCAAACUCUCUUGACAAACAGUUGGCUCAAAGGUGCGCACCACAACAUUGAGAUACAGUCUGAUAGGAUUAGUGUACCUGAUGGUUACAAAUCAGUUUGACAGAUUGCCUUAAUAUUGUCUGUUGUGGGAUAUUUGUACACUGUGUAAAGGUGUAUUACUGUGACUGGUUUGAUAAAGAGCUGAAUUGCCAAUUGCAAGGCAGGAGGUAUAGGCUGAACUUUUGGGUGGAGUGAAAGGAAGUUGGAAGUAAAUCUAAGUGCAUAUCAGAUGCCAAUGAGACCUAGAGAGAGUCAGAUAUACAGAAUGAAAGGUAAAAUGCCAUGAGGCAAAACAUAGAUUAAUAUAAAUGAGUUAACUUAAGGUAUAAAAGCUAGUGUGAUAAGCCUAAGCUAAUGUUGAGCUUUCAUAAUUAAUAAUGUCUCUGUGUCACUUUUUGUGAGCUGCCAACAACAAAGCUUGCUACAAAUGGCAUCUAACGUGAGCCAUGCGCACAGAGCCCUCUCCAUGCAGCAUACAGAGGUUUGGCUCUUUUAAGAGACCCAGAUGUGCAACAAGCACAUGAGUAUCCAGCAUGAUAGGUUAAAACUCCAGUCACUCAGACUCAGCAAAUUCUGAGAGAGCCGGAGUGGUAAAUGCAGCUGCUGUGGGUGCCACCAUGUGUCUAAGCUCUCGUAGAACCAAGAGGGGCAGACCUAGUCACUAGAGCCACGUGACCAUUCAAAGUUUGUCUUGCAGUCAGAGAAUGCUGUAAAGACACAGGAAGUCAGGUCCAGACUGAGGAAAAAACCUCUAAACAGAUACAGUAAGAUCUAAGCCGAAAAAUGGGCUUAGAUACUAAGGAAAGAAAAGAAAGUGAAUAUAGACAAUCAUAGAAAAAUGCUAAUGAACAGAGAACAGCUGCUGAAAGACAUUGAACUGUGGAGGAGACUCUUGAAUUAAACCAGCCUAUAUGCUUUAGGGGUGAUUUGACCUGAAAAUGGAAGUUGGACAAUGUGUUACUUUGGGGGAGAGAUUAUGUUUGUUUCCAUUGGAAAUAAAAAGCUUUGAGUUUCUUCAAAGUUGGUCAAAUCAGAUUUGAUUGGUGGAGACCUCCUAAGGCUUACGGUUACAGACAUGAGGGAAAAAGCCAAGAAAAACUACAGGACAGUUGAUAUACAUGCUGACCACUCAACAGGGGCACAGCUCUGUGACUGGCUGAGAUAUCAUAAAUAUUGUUGGCUUCAGAGUUCUCAUGAAUUAUUUUUACAUGCCAUCUUUUCAUCUGGAAUGGUAGAGAUUUAUAUCACAGUUUGGCUAUAAAGUUCAAACAGACUUAUGAAGUUGAUAGAUGCCUUUUACCUGCUCAAUCAUAGAAAGAAUACCAUCUUUAAUUUAUUGUGCACACCACACAUUCCAUACUUGUGUUAAUGCAGAUAUAUAUAUAUAUAUAUAAUAUAUAUA